AUCCUGCACGUCUGCCCAGCAGCCCCACUGGAUCCCAGGUAAAAAUCCCCCCAGCUCUCCUAAAGGUUGGGAGGCUGGGUGGAUUUAAACUAAAAUAAAAGUAAAUAAUUAUUUGUAAAUGUUGGGGGGAAAUAUGUGUGUGUAUGUCAGCGCGUGUGUGUGUCACUUUGUGUGUCUGAGUGAGUGUAUCAGGGAGUUUGUCGGUGUCUCAGUUUGUGUAUGUAUGUCAAGGUGUGUCAGUGAGUGUGCAUUUGUGUGUCUGUUAAUGAAUGUGUGUUUCUGUUAGUAUGUAUGUUUCUGUCAGUGACUGUGUGUAUGUCUAUCAGUGUGUGCCUGGGAGUGUGUAUGUAUGUGUCAAUGUGUGUUCGUCAGUGCCUGCGUGUCUGUCAGAUUGUGUCAGAUCAGUGUGUGUGAGUAUGUGAGUCUGCCAGUGAAUGUAUGUCAGUGUAUCUUAGUGUGUAAGCCGGUCAGUGAGUGGGUGUGUCUG